UGCUGGAGCCAGCCAGUCUGGUGGUAGAUGUGGCUGUCGAGGGCAACGAGGAAUUCCAUGAACAGCACCAACUCUACGAUAAAGAGAAUACCACACCAGAGGGGAGCAUCUCAGACAAACAGAGUGUGUAUAACUGGCGUAUAGAUCUCUCCAAGGCUGAGAAGUACUGGGAUGGCUGGUUCAGAGGGACCUCCAACCUCUUCCUGAGCUGCAACCUGCCCAAACUGCUGUUACUGGCUGGGGUGGAUCGUCUUGACAGAGAUUUGACCAUCGCACAAAUGCAAGGUAAAUUCAUGAUGCAGCUGCUGCCCCCUUGUGGCCAUGCAGUGCAAGAAGACCACCCCGACAAGGCAAGAGACAUGUGACACCCUGUGUGUAUUUUUGUAAAAACAAUAAAACAUGCAUUUGUUCAUUUGCAUGUAUGUGCAUUUGAAUUAUAUUUUAUAUUUCGUGCCUGUAUCUGGAUGUAUUUAUAUAUUUAAUUGCUUGUGUAUUUCAUUAAAAGUCAUAUUUGUGUGUGUGUGUGUGUGUGUGUGUGUGUGUGUGUGUGUGUGUGUGUGUGUGUGUGUGUGUGUGUGUGUGUGUGUGUGUGUGUGUGUGUGUGUGUGUGUGUGUGUGUGUGUGUGUGUGUGUGUGUGUGUGUGUGUGUGUGUGUGUGUGAGUAGGUUGCUGAUGCUAUAACCAGUUUUCUUUUGAGACAUAAGUUUGCAGAGUCCAGAGAAGAUAACCAGAGCUCUCCAUUGCCCUUUACACAGUGAAGACUGAAAUACUAUCCUCUAGACCAGAGGGCUGCCCUCAAGUGCUUCUCAACUAUACUUAACCUAGAAGACGUUUCCCUAGAAGAAGAGCAGAAGUUUGUGGUUCCAUUUUAUUCAUUUCGUGGAAAUCAACGUCACUGGGCUGAAAUGUUCUACGUUCAAGACAAUCUGUGUCCCUGUAUUAAGAUGUGGCUUUGAAUCGCUUUGAUUAAACCAGUCUCACCUCUUUGAUUAAA